rnacentral:rRNA from 1 species
GAGUUUGAUCCUGGCUCAGGACGAACGCUGGCGGCGUGCCUAAUACGUGCAAGUCGAGCGAGGGUUUUUAAGACCCUAGCGGCGGACGGGUGAGUAACACGUAGGCAACCUGCCUCUCAGACCGGGAUAACAUAGGGAAACUUAUGCUAAUACCGGAUAGGUUUUUGGAUUGCAUGAUCCGAAAAGAAAAGAUGGCUUUUCGCUAUCACUGGGAGAUGGGCCUGCGGCGCAUUAGCUAGUUGGUGGGGUAACGGCCUACCAAGGCGACGAUGCGUAGCCGACCUGAGAGGGUGGACCGGCCGACACUGGGACGUGAGACACGGCCCAGACUCCUACGGGAGGCAGCAGUAGGGAAUUUUCCACAAUGGACGAAAGUCUGAUGGAGCAACGCCGCGUGAACGAUGAAGGUCUUCGGAUUGUAAAGUUCUGUUGUCAGGGACGAACACGUACCGUUCGAAUAGGGCGGUACCUUGACGGUACCUGACGAGAAAGCCACGGCUAACUACGUGCCAGCAGCCGCGCAGUAAU